UUCGCAAUGCCCGAAAGGGUGACGAAGCGACGCCGCGUGGGUGAGGAAGGCCUUCGGGUUGUAAAGCCCUGUCAGGAGUUAAGAAAUGUAGACUCGCUAAUAUCGGGUCUAUUUGACAAAGGCUCCAAAGGAAGCCGCGGCUAACUCUGUGCCAGCAGCCGCGGUAAUACAGAGGUGGCAAGCGUUGUUCGGAAUUAUUGGGCGUAAAGAGCACGUAGGUGGAUUUGUAAGUCAGACGUGAAAGCCUUCUGUUCAACGGAAGAAUUGCAUCUGAAACUACAAACCUUGAGUGUAGGAGGGGAGAAUGGAACUUCUGGUGGAGCGGUGAAAUGCGUAGAUAUCAGAAGGAACGCCGGCGGCGAAAGCGAUUCUCUGGCCUAUUACUGACACUCAGUGUGCGAAAGCUAGGGGAGCAAACGGGAUUAGAUACCCCGGUAGUCCUAGCCGUAAACGAUGGGCACUAAGUAGAGGGGUUUU
rnacentral:rRNA from 1 species